rnacentral:rRNA from 1 species
AACGAACGCUGGCGGCAUGCCUAAUACAUGCAAGUCGAACGAGAUCUUCGGAUCUAGUGGCGCACGGGUGCGUAACGCGUGGGAAUCUACCCUUGGGUUCGGAAUAACAGUUAGAAAUGACUGCUAAUACCGGAUGAUGACGUAAGUCCAAAGAUUUAUCGCCCAAGGAUGAGCCCGCGUAGGAUUAGCUAGUUGGUGGGGUAAAGGCCUACCAAGGCUACGAUCCUUAGCUGGUCUGGGAGGAUGAUCAGCCACACUGGGACUGAGACACGGCCCAGACUCCUACGGGAGGCAGCAGUAGGGAAUAUUGGACAAUGGGGGAAACCCUGAUCCAGCAAUGCCGCGUGAGCGAUGAAGGCCUUAGGGUUGUAAAGCUCUUUUACCCGGGAUGAUAAUGACAGUACCGGGAGAAUAAGCCCCGGCUAACUCCGUGCCAGCAGCCGCCGUAA